rnacentral:rRNA from 1 species
CAGUCGCCGCGGUAAUACAGAGGAUGCAAGCGUUAUUCGGAAUGAUUGGGCGUAAAGCGUCUGUAGGUGGCUUUUCAAGUCCACCGUCAAAUCCCCGGGCUCAACCCUGGACAAGCAGUGGAAACUACCAAGCUGGAGUACGGUAGGGGUAGAGGGAAUUUCCGGUGGAGCGGCGAAAUGCGUUGAGAUCGGAAAGAACACCAACGACGAAAGCACUCUGCUGGGCCGACACUGAUACUGAGAGACGAAAGCUAGGGGAGCAAAUGGGAUUAGAUACCCGGGUAGUCCCUGUCUCUUAUAC